GACUGAGGGUGCAAACGUUGUUCGGAAUUACUGGGCGUAAAGCGCGUGUAGGCGGCCCUGCAAGUCGGAUGUGAAAUCCCACGGCUCAACCGUGGAAGUGCAUUCGAAACUGCAGGGCUAGAGUCCUGGAGAGGAAGGUGGAAUGCUUGGUGUAGAGGUGAAAUUCGUAGAUAUCAAGCGGAACACCGGUGGCGAAGGCGGCCUUCUGGACAGUGACUGACGCUGAGACGCGAAAGCGUGGGGAGCAAACAGG
rnacentral:rRNA from 1 species